rnacentral:misc_RNA from 1 species
ACUUUAUUUUGGUUCUAAUCAUUGUCUCCUAAGUAUCUAAAGUCAGUACUGUCUUCGUACUAAUAACAAGAGCUUCUGUAGGUUUCUCUUUAGCAUUAUGAAUUUGUGUGGAGUGAAUCUUUGCAGUUAUUGUCUUAUCCCUCUGAUUCAGAAGUACCCUGUAGUAGCUCACAGCAGAUGCUUCGGUUGUACACAGUUGAAUUACAAAAGGCUUAAAUUGGU